GGCAUCAUUCAUAACUUGACAGAAGUUGAUGUAGAUUUUUUUGCCCGAUUAUGAUUUUUUUGUGUACCUAAACAAUUAUUGGACUUUUUUCAAAUAUGACUCAAAAUAAAAAAAAAGCUAAACACAAAACUAAUCCUUAAUUUUUUUUUAAAACUUUUAUUUGUCUUAUUCACCCUAAAAGUUCAGAUUAUUCACGAAAAUGCCAUUAUUUCUUUUUUUCUUCUUUUUUCCAAAAUGAGUGUUUUACUUUAUCAUCUUCAUCUUCAUCAAAUAUUUAUAAUAUUGCCAUUGCCAUCAAUAUACCAACCCACCAUAAACAACCAAUUUGAAGCUCUUAAUGCCCCAAAGUUUCGAUUUUCACUCUUCAUAUCUCAUUACUUAUUCACACAAACUACAUCUCUUUCAAUUUCUC
rnacentral:lncRNA from 1 species